rnacentral:lncRNA from 1 species
AUGAAAUAUUUGGCUGGUUUAUGGAGAACGGCUGCACAUCUGUGUGUGUGUUUCAGGGACCCAUGUGUGAUCUGCUGUGGUCAGACCCUGAUGAUCGCGGUGGCUGGGGAAUCUCUCCACGUGGAGCUGGUUACACGUUUGGACAGGACAUUUCUGAGACCUUCAACCACGCUAACGGCCUCACGCUGGUGUCCCGCGCUCAUCAGCUGGUCAUGGAGGGAUACAACUGGUGUCAUGAUAGGAACGUUGUCACUAUCUUCAGUGCGCCAAACUACUGCUAUCGCUGUGGCAACCAGGCAGCCAUUAUGGAACUGGACGAUACUCUUAAAUAUUCAUUCCUUCAGUUUGAUCCAGCUCCUCGACGCGGAGAACCUCACGUCACCCGCCGCACCCCUGACUACUUCCUAUAAGCGAGCACUGGCCUGCCACGAAAGAGCUCUGAAGCAAGCGCAAAAUGAUGACAAAUCUAAACGUCUAUAUAUCUAUUCAUCCAAUGUGUAUAUAAAAUGGGAGAAAUGUUCUGACACUGCAACACUAACACGGACCAAAAUGUGCCAUACAAGCAUUUAAUGCCCAAAUCCGAUCGCUUUGUCUCAGUACUGCUACAAAGUGUUUCGUUUUAGCCUAUAGUGCAAAUUGCCUGCUGUAUACAAUAGAGAUGCUCCUUUCGUUCUUCAAUUGUAAAUUACUCGGAGUAAAAAAAAAAAUCACAGUAUCACUGGAUUUAAAAAAAAGUCCUUUAAGUUGGCAAUGCCAGGCAUGUGAAAAACGGUAACAUUUCAUACAAGUGCACAAGCUAACAUCCUUUCCUGUAUCUUCACCAAAAAAAAAAACAAAAAAAAAAUCCUAUUGGGAAGGAAUGUUGAAACCGAAGGAUGUGCCUCUUCCAUUUUGGGAGUGUAUACACAAGUGUAUAUGGACUUUAUCUGACUGUCCCUCUUUGUCUGAUCUUACCAUUUUCUUUUCUUUUGUGUUACCUGUCUUCUGUAUUUGUCAAUAAGUGAUAGCCUCUUCUUUGGUGUAUUUGAACUAAUAAACUACUUUUAAUCACAAGCUACUCCAAAGCUACACACUAGUUGUGCUUUUAUUUGAAAUUGAUAGUUAAUGUUAUC